UUUUUUUUUUUUUUUUACUCAUGAUACUUAAAAAAUUGGAUGGGGUCCCAAUUGAAUUUUAGACUCCAUCUAUGUGCAAAAUUUAGCCUGAGCUAGUCAUCGACCAUACAUAUGUAACAAGUUCUGCUAUUUUAUCCUAAAAUUGUUGAAUCCUUCAUAAUGCUCUGAAUUGAAAUGACUGUCAUAUGAGAACUCAACCUCAUUAAAUUUUGAACAAACCUGCUUAACACUUACUAAAGGUCACAAUUACAAUUUAAAAAUGACUCCAAAGAUUUUUUAAGUGAACAUCCUAAAAUUUUCUAGAACAAGAAUCAGUAUUCCAUUGUGUUUAUCAUAUACUAUAAAUUAUUUUAGAAUUAUUUAAUCCUGUGAAACUUCUGAGCAUGUAUUUUAUGAUCACACAAUUACAAACAUAUUGGGGUUCUAAGCAAUGAAAAUAAUUUUACAAAGUUGCAAAAAAAGGCUUUUGAGGAAAAGAUGGAGUCAGCUAAUUUAAACAACAGGUCAUUUUAGGCACAUGAGGAAAAAUUAGAUAAGGCCAUGGAUGAAGUCAUGGAAAGAGCAAUCACAAUUUUUAUUUUAUUUUAUUUUAUUUUUAUUUUUUGUCUUUUUGCUAUUUCUUUGGGCCAUUUCUGCGGCAUAUGAAGAUUCCUCUUGAGCUAGGAAGAAAAGCUUCUUGGUGGGGGGGGGUUCUUGUAGAAAAGUUUGCUUGCUGAUGAUAGACAUACAACAUAGAUGGAACUGUUUUUUCUUCCACUGGACACUAGUGUCCACAUGUGCUUCCUAGAAUGUGCAGCCACCAUGUAGUCACAAUGGAUGACUGCCAAGGAUAAAACCACCCAGCUGAGCAAGCCAGAACAGAAAGACUCUGUGGGAGGUUGUGCAAUGUCUCCAAAAGAUAACAAAGCCCUAAUCCCUGAAACUUUUGAACAUUACCUUAUAUGACAAAAGGAACAUUCUGACUGUAAUUAAAUCACUAAAACUGGGAUGGAGUGAUGAUGUUGGCUUAACUGGUUAGACCCUAAUGGUAAUCACAAGUGUUCUUAGAUAAAAGGGGACUGGAGGAAACUGACCCACAGAGAGGAGAAUGCAAUGUGAUGGAAAUCACAGAGAGAUAUGAAGAUGUUGCACCGCUGGUAUAGACAACAGAGGAAGACAUUGUAAACCAAGGAAUGCAGCUUUAGAAUCUGGAUAAAACAAGGAAACAAAUUCUCCUCUACAGUCUCAGAAGACAAGAUGGUGCUGCAUAUAUAAUUUCAUUACAGCUGGUGAAACUAAUUUCAGACUUCUGGCCUCCAGACAGUAAAAUAAUAAUUUUGUGUUGUUGUUAGCUACUAAAUUUGUAAUAAUUUGUUGUAGCAGCCACAGAAUACUCACAACAGAUGAAACAUUUGAAUGAGCCACUAAAUUUAGUCACCUUGGAGCCAUUCACUCAUAAGGUGUAAGUGGGGAUUAUCGGAGUGGCAUACCUGAUUGUUCUGAAUAGUAAAUAUUUAUUAAAUGGGUUAUCAUUUUCGCUGACUUUACUGGAUCUUGUCCUAAAUUUCCAUCACAUGUAGCCUUAGAGUAAGCUCUCCAUUACUUUAUGUCAGUUCUUAUAAAUUGUCAGAAGUUCUAAGAUAUGGAUCAUAGCCCAGGGAAAAAAAUAAAGCUUUUAUCACAAUUUUAUAAAAUUAAUAUUAAAAGCUCUCUCAAUAAAAGGUAACACCAUAUUUUCAACCAUUCAAUUAAGAGAUACUUGGGCUCCAUCUUGAAUGCUUGAAUGCAUUUUUGUCUCACACCCACAUAUAAUCUGUCAGUACCUCUUUCAGCUCUACCUUCAAUAUCAUCCAAAUCAGACCACCUGUUUCUCUCCAUUUUAAAUGCUAC
rnacentral:lncRNA from 1 species